CACAGUCUAGCUAAAAUCUUCGGAUAUCCCGGACAUAGUAUGUGCAAAAUUCCUUUACCCUAAUUUUUUCCUGUCGUUCACAAAACGAAUUUCGCAUCUUUCAAAUUUCAUUUCAAAAGCACACGCGGAAGGAUUUCUUUAAAAAAAUAAUUUCAAAUAUCAACCGCACUCCUUGGAAGGUUGGCUAGGCGUCCGCGUUUUAAUUGAAACACUUAAUUUCAUUGUUUCUUUGUGCGAUGACUUCACUGGGAAGAAAAAGUGUCAGUGCUGCAGUAUAGCUGCAUUUUAAAUGACUCGUGCGUUCUCGAUAGUGAAAGAUAAAUGCAUCUCAAAGAUGUGAAAAGUAAGUGAUUCUGUGCGGAAGAUAUCUUCACUGUUGGAAAGAAAAUUUCGUAAGUUAUCGGUGAGUUGUCGAAUAUUUGUGUGAGUUGCGGAGCAUCCUUCUUCGAUAGUCUGAUGUGAAGGAGUUCAGGAUUUGUGUCUCCCGGCCGGAAAUUUUGCCGAAGAUAGUGGACUACAGAACGAUAACUAUUACAAAACGGAGGAAGAAACGUCGACCGAAAACGAAAGCGACGAAGAAUGGAUGAAGAUUUGGACAAAAAAAUAUGAAAUUCGCUGGGGCUCAACAGCCCCACAGAGCCGAUUCAAGCUUUUGGAAUGACUCUUUUGGUGGCCAUACUAUUAUCGACAAUUACAGUACCAAUAGCAACAACAGUACUUCUAGCAAUAGAAACUCAGACACUAGCAGAUGCAAAAUCAAUUGUCCAGCUCAGAACGCAAACAUUACUUACACCAAAACUAAACAAGAUAAAAUCGGGACAGAGCAGGCCGGAUUAUGUGGAAGAGAUGAGAGAAAUGAAAUUCACGGCAAUUUCGAGUGCAUCGAAGAAGGAUCGGGAAUUAAAGUCGGGGGGAAUACUGCAUUUGACAUGAUUCGAUCCAUCCCCGCCGUUGUCCUUGAGAGGAUGCGAGUUCAACAAUCAUUACCAUUACAAUCAUCGAAGUUGCUUUCAUUACUGCAUGAGCGUCGACAAUUCCGUUUACUGUCAUGUUACUUUACAAUCUUAUUGAUUUUAUUAUGCGUGUUUACAAAUCGUGCUUUAUGCGAUGAAAUCGAAAAUGGAUCUAGCCUGGGACCAGAGUUUACAACCCUGGCGUUGGCGGUGCAGCCCACGGUGCCACCGUUUGAUAACGCCACCCGAGGCAAUAAAAAGUUCGGUGAUAGAUGUGAGGACACCGUGGAAUGUGGAUUUCCCGGGUCGAUAUGCGAUCCACGGAAAAAAUCAUGUCAGUGCAUCGAGGAUUUGCCGGUCACCAAUCACCUGGAUAAAUGUGGAAAAGAGGCCGCAAUCAACGAGAGCUGCUUCUUCAACGAACAAUGCGAGGCGUUUCACUUCCAAACAGAAUGCCGGGAUAACCGUUGCGUUUGCCGUUUCGAAAUGUCGCCUGUCGUCAACAAGGAUGGGAAUGUCGAAUGUAAAGGUAAACAGAUGAAGCACGACGAGGUGGAACGAUAUGUCGACCCGGCCAUGAUUGGUGUCCUCGUAGGAAUGGCUCUCAUGUUCAUAAUCAUUUGUGUUGUCCUUCGUCUAUUCAGUCGGGCCCGAUGGCGUGAGAACCGAACCAUUUUCAAUACACCAAAUCCACGUCUAAUGAACGUUUCGUUGUUGCGUGACAAUAAGUUGAUGCAUGGUCAGGAGCGACGCGGUUCCAGGAUGUCGGUAAGAGCACCGUCACGUCAACCUAGCAUGGCCUCAUUGCGACCGCACUCCCCUAAUCCGUCGUUAGGUAAGACAGAUGAAGUGAUGUACUUGAUCUAGAACUUCCAUCUGAAUCUGAGUUUUCUGACCUAAAAGCCAACUAGUGGGGAAUUCCGUAAAAUAUUCAUAGAAAAUGAAUAUGAUCAAGACCAGGAUCCCGGGGUAGCAGCAACGCAUCAGCAAUAUCAGCUCGUUCCACACUAGCUGCAGCAACCAAUGCCGAUGCAAAACCAACAGCCAACAAUAAUUGCGCAGAUUCCAAUCAAACGUUA
rnacentral:misc_RNA from 1 species